rnacentral:rRNA from 1 species
UACGGGGGGAGCAAGCGUUGUUCGGAUUUACUGGGCGUAAAGGGCGCGUAGGCGGUCAGCACAAGUCAGUUGUGAAAUCUCCGAGCUUAACUCGGAAAGGUCAACUGAUACUGUGCGACUAGAGUGCAGAAGGGGCAACUGGAAUUCCCGGUGUAGCGGUGAAAUGCGCAGAGAUCGGGAGGAACACCCGUAGCGAAGGCGGCGCUCUGGGCCGGUACUGACGCUGAGGAGCGAAAGCGUGGGGAGCAAACAGG